AAAAAAUCAGAACAAAUAUUUUUAAGACGUUUUUAUUUUCAUAAAUAAUUUCAAAACAGAAAUAAACAUAUUGUAAUAUGCUUGCGAAAAUUCUUUUCACGUACUUGGGCAGUAUUUCGGACUCUUUCGAUAUAUGAAAUGGUCAUGUCUAAAAUAAAAAUAAAAAAAAGAAAGAAAAAUGAGAAUAUACUGAGUUCUAUUUUUUUUUCUCGUAACGGCGUAUAAACGAUUUUAUCGGUUCACGAAAUCUGCAUCGAAGACGAAGUUUUUAUUAUAAUUCAGUGCA